rnacentral:rRNA from 1 species
CUAGAGGAGUGGCUUUCGGAGCUAACGCGUUAAAUCGACCGCCUGGGGAGUACGGCCGCAAGGUUAAAACUCAAAUGAAUUGACGGGGGCCCGCACAAGCGGUGGAGCAUGUGGUUUAAUUCGAUGCAACGCGAAGAACCUUACCUACUCUUGACAUCCAGAGAACUUAGCAGAGAUGCUUUGGUGCCUUCGAGAACUCUGAGACAGGUGCUGCAUGGCUGUCGUCAGCUCGUGUUGUGAAAUGUUGGGUUAAGUCCCGCAACGAGCGCAACCCUUAUCCUUUGUUGCCAGCGAUUCGGUCGGGAACUCAAAAGAGACUGCCGGUGAUAAACCGGAGGAAGGUGGGGAUGACGUCAAGUCAUCAUGGCCCUUACGAGUAGGGCUACACACGUGCUACAAUGGCGUAUACAAAGAGAAGCGACCUCGCGAGAGCAAGCGGAACUCAUAAAGUACGUCGUAGUCCGGAUUGGAGUCUGCAACUCGACUCCAUGAAGUCGGAAUCGCUAGUAAUCGUAGAUCAGAAUGCUACGGUGAAUACGUUCCCGGGCCUUGUACACACCGCCCGUCACACCAUGGGAGUGGGUUGCAAAAGAAGUAGGUAGCUUAACCUUC